rnacentral:rRNA from 1 species
GACGGAGGAUGCAAGCGUUAUCCGGAAUGAUUGGGCGUAAAGCGUCCGCAGGUGGCAGUUCAAGUCUGCUGUCAAAGACCGGGGCUUAACUUCGGAAAGGCAGUGGAAACUGAACAGCUAGAGUAUGGUAGGGGCAGAGGGAAUUCCUGGUGUAGCGGUGAAAUGCGUAGAGAUCAGGAAGAACAUCGGUGGCGAAGGCGCUCUGCUGGACCGUAACUGACACUCAGGGACGAAAGCUAGGGGAGCGAAUGGG